GACGAACGCUGGCGGCGUGCUUAACACAUGCAAGUCGAACGGAAAGGCCCUGCUUUUGUGGGGUGCUCGAGUGGCGAACGGGUGAGUAACACGUGAGUAACCUGCCCUUGACUUUGGGAUAACUUCAGGAAACUGGGGCUAAUACCGGAUAGGAGCUCCUGCUGCAUGGUGGGGGUUGGAAAGUUUGGGCGGUUGGGGAUGGACUCGCGGCUUAUCAGCUUGUUGGUGGGGUAGCGGCUUACCAAGGCUUUGACGGGUAGCCGGCCUGAGAGGGUGACCGGCCACAUUGGGACUGGGAUACGGCCCGGACUCCUACGGGAGGCAGCAGUGGGGAAUAUUGCACAAUGGGCGGAAGCCUGAUGCAGCAACGCCGCGUGCGGGAUGACGGCCUUCGGGUUGUAAACCGCUUUCGCCUGUGACGAAGCGUGAGUGACGGUAAUGGGUAAAGAAGCACCGGCUAACUACGUG
rnacentral:rRNA from 1 species